rnacentral:lncRNA from 1 species
ACACUUGCGCCCUGAGGAGUAGUUAAAAUUCAGCUUGAGGGGCACUUAGUGUCACAGAAGCCUAGAUAAAGAAACAAGAUUUCAGGCAGGAAGAAAUAAUAAAGAGGCAGGACUUCAAGUGUCCUGUGAAACACAACAUUCGGCCUCCGGCACACACAUCCGUGGGAGACGGCUCAACUUCUUUAUAAAGUGAGGAACCAAAUUGUGAAGACAUCUGUUCUGUUAUUAAUUUCACAUACAUCUUAAGCUCCUCAAGGCCAGAAAUGAGGCUUCAUUCACGUCGAAUUAAUGAAACAUGAUUGUCCAGAUGUCCAUCCAGGAAUAAACUCCACUGCAUGGAGCCCCAUGGUGAGACGGACUGCAGGCUUGCAGCCCCACACCUAUGCACCGGCAACGUGCCCCCAGGAACACAGGACCAACUCCAAAUUUGGGAAUGAAGAUAAUGUUCAGGGGAACACAGGACCAACUCCAAAUUUGGGAAUGAAGAUAAUGUUCAGCAGCUACAUUUUCACCCCAUCCCGGGCUCCAUGUUCCUGCUGCACACACAUCAAGAAUGCUGCUAAUUUCAGCGUCUGCCUUCCAGACCCAGACGUCAAAACAACUACCUUUCAUCUCAGGUUUGUAACACAGAAAACCUUCAAUAUUGGGAACAGAUAACCUCGAAGGUGGGUUCAUAUCUCUCAGCACGAUUGCUGUAACUUAACUCUGCUGCACCCGAUCAAGGCUUUCUCUCUGCCUCAUAGGUAUUUUAAUACAAAUGUUCCUUUCAUUUGGCUGAUUGAAGGUCUCCAACCUGCAAUAAAUGAAACAUCUGAUCCCCUUGAAUCCAAAUAACUUUUUCUUUGAUUUUCUUUUACUUCUAUUUCUUCGUCCUUUGUUCUACAGCCCGAGUCAAAUUUCCCUUUAGAAAUUGAAAGAAUGUGUGUGGGUUUUUCCUGCUUUUUUUUUUUUUUUAACCAAGCUCUAGUGCAACCGCUGGUUCAUGGACUAGAAUAUUAAGAUCCAAUUCAAUGGCAGACUGUCUCCAGCAAUGUUGUAUUUUUAUUUUUUUUUGCCGUCAUCCCCCCCACCCACUUGUGAGCAAUGGUUGUACAAAUUAGCCUCUGUGUACUAGUCACCGAAGCUGGCUUCCCAAUUAACCCCAGGCUUGAGAGAAAAUAAGACUAAAGAUUCUUCCCCUCCUGAAAGAACUAAGUUAUCCAUGCACAAAAGCCUACAUGUUGGCACCUGGCUAUGGAGUUGGGCAUUUAAUUGCCUUUGUAAUGACUCAGUCCAUCUGCAUGGUAUUGGGUCCCCAGUUUCAGGUAAUGGGCCAGAGGGGUCUUAUUAGUCUCUGGAAUGACCAGGCCAUGUGUAUUCAUCACUUCGAAAGGCAAGCAGGGUCUGUGAGAAGCUGGUGAAGCUCUUUGUGUGUUCACAUCUCUGAUUGUGCCCUGUGUCCACACUUAGCCAGGACACCUACCCACUUAGUGGUCUUGGCUUUGUUUCUAGGGUGAGGGCUUGAGCUGUGGGUAACAGUGCUGAUUAUUACAUGCUAGUAAGAUUGUCUCCCUCUUUGAAGUGGUAGAAAGGUUUGUCCCUUCAGGGUGAUUGGGUGAAUAUCAGAAAGCAACCACAGGAACAUUUUGUUGUACUUUGCUAAGGUCUAAAUAUUUGUCUCCUCCCACCAAAAAUUAGUGGUUGAAACCUCAUCCCCAGUGUGAUGAAAUGAGGAGGUGAGGCCUUUGGGAGGUGACGAGGUCUUGAAGGCAGAGCCUUUAUGGAUGGGAUUAGUACCCAUAUAAAAGAGACCUCAGGGAGCUUGUUCACCCCUUCUGUCAUGUUGAGUACUCAGCAAGAAGAUGCCAUCUAUGAGGAAUGGACCCCCACCAGACACCCAAUCUGCCAGUAACUUGAUCUUGGACUUCCCAGCCUCCAGAACUGUGAGGAAUCAGUUUCUGCUAUUUAUGAGUUACCCAGUCUAUGGCAUUUUGCUAUGGCAGCCCAAAUAGACUGAGACAUACUCCUUAACCUUUGACCCACUUCUGUUUAGGCCCAGCCAGCCUUCCUGAGCCUGUGCAUAGUCUUCCUGGCUCAAGGAACUCUCUCUACCGAGGUGUGAUCUCCUAACUCCUGGCACUCAUUUACCUAUCCAUGGUUGGUAGUCAGCCUCCAAGAUGCCUGCAGUCAUCCCUGCCUCCUGGGAUUCAUAUCCUCCUCCACAUUGUGCCAGGAUUGGGCUCUGUGGCCAAAAAGAAAACAGCAGAUGAGAGGACGUGUCUCUUCUCAGAAGGGUUAGAAAAGACUGUGGCUUCCAUUUUAGAUGACUUUCUCUCUCUCUCUCUCUCUCUCUCUCUCUCUCUCUCUCUCUCUCCUCUUUUCCUUCUUCUCUUCCUUGGAUCUCUUGCUCUGAGGAAAGCAAACUACUAUGUUGUGAGCAGCCCAAUGGAGAGGCCCACAAGACAACGAACUGAAGCCUCCAGCAACAACCCUGUGAGGUCAGUUUGGAAGUGGAUUUUCUAGCCCCAAUUGAGCUUAAGAUGACUUCAGCUUCAGCAGACAGCUUGACUGCAGCCUUUCUAGAGAGCAAGCACCACCCAGCUCUGCUGCUUCUAGACCCCUGACCUCAGAAAUUGCACGAGAUAACAUGUUUGCUGUUUCAGGCUGCCAAAUUUAGGGGCUGGAACUGCCCAUAAAGGCUGGCACCCCAGCAGCCACCUUGAGAAAUGCAGUGAUGAUGCUGAGUGGCAAGGCAGAAGGCACAGGGUCCCUGCACCUGAGGAUUGCUGCUCCAAACCUGGGCCACCAGCCUGAAGAUCCCGCCAGGGAGAAAUAAAGCUCUGUUUUGCUGAAGCCACUGCUAUUUUGGGGGUCUCAUCUCUUCCAGCUGAUUCUAACCUGAAAUUGAACCUUAAUUCAAUCUGGCUGAUCCAUGAACAACCAUCACGCCUUGUGCUCUGUGUCAGAUAGGUUUCUUAAGGGAGAAUGUCACUUACUGACAGUGAUUUGUCAACACCAAAGAGGAAAAAAUAUCAGAGAAAGGUAAGAGGGAGAACAAUAGAGAGAGAAAGAGAGACAGAGACAGAGGGGGAGAGAGAGAGAGAGAGAGAGAGAGAGAGAGAGAGAGAGAGCAGACUUGGUUUAAUUUCCUCUUUUCCCUUAUUACUUUCUGACAUUUUCUGACCUUAAUACCUUUGAAACUUAGCACUUCCCUCAGAAGCCUCCACUGUAAACAAAGCCCCAAGAUUUCCCUAUAAUUUUCCCCUCCCCAUUGGCCCAUCAGUCCCCAUGGGCUUCUGCUUACCAGGAUGCCCAACUAUUCCCCUGCAAACAUCCCCCUGCCCAGUGGGCCCUAACACUCACUAGUAGCAUUGCCUUUCCCCCUCUGUUCUGCCCUCCUCCAGAGGCUCCCCAUUCUCUGGAUCUAAUGUUGUCCCAGAAGUUUACCCCUCCCUGUCCCACCCAGGCGACCUCAAAUUCUCCUAGUGGCUUCCAAUGACCCAGUUGUGCCCAGAAGCUUCUCCCUAACAGCUUAGGCUGUCACAGCCUUCCAGAGGCCUCACCCAUCUUAGUAGGGUCUAUUGCUCCUGUUCCUUAAGCCCUAGCAGUCCCUCCACCCAGUAGGCCCUGAAACUGUAAUGCAGUCCUCUCAGGCUGAGGACCUGCUCUGUGCAAAGGCCUGAGAGGGAGGUGGAGAGAAGCCAGGCAGAGGCCAGAUAUAUUAGCAGUUUUCCUAGAACAGUUGCUAAAAUAGAGCAGACAGGGGCUAUGGGAGUUGAUCAAUAGAUAUUCAUUGAACAUCUACUUUGUGCUGCGAAUGAUUUCAGUCAUGAGGGACAUAGCAGACCAUAAAACAGAACAGGGGAAGCCUUCUUUAGAAGUGGUCCUGGUAUAUUUCUGUCAAUUGACAUAUAUUCACAAAUUCACGCAUCCACUUAAUACGUAUUUAUUGAGCUCCUUCUGUAUACGAGGCACUGUUCUUGUUGCUGAAAAUACAAAACUGAACAAAACAGAAAAGCUCCUGCCCUUGGGAGCUUAUGUUCUAGUAAGGAAAUGAAAUAAACAACAAACAGCGAGUGCCUUCAGUCUUAUGUUCCCAGAAGAAGAUGCUGAGACAAGGGUUGAAGUGCAGGUAAUUUAUUAAGAAAGAGCUCCCAGGAGAUAUCCAUAAGGGCAUAGGGAAACAGGGCAAGAGAGGGGGAAGAAGCCCAGCAAAGGUGCAGCUUCCCAAAGUCCCAACCUCUGCCUGAUCCUGUGGAGAGCUCUGGGGUAUAAAUUACAUCUCAGGGUCUGUCUGUCUUUGAAGCAGGGGUGUCAGGCUUUUAUACUCCCACAUCCAUUGGCUACAGGCUGGAGGGGUGAGGGGGAGUAAAUUUUGGGUACUUUUUCUCCUCUCUGCAUGCCAUGGGGACAAAGCAGCUGCAGAGGUUCAUGGGCCAGCACAGGAAGGAAGUUCCAGGUGUGAACCUUUUAGAAGUAAAAUACGUAGGGCCAGGUGUGGUGGCUCACGGCUGUAACCCAGCAUUUUGGGAGGCCGAGGGUGGUGGAUCACCUGAGGUCAGGAAUUCAAGACCAGCCUGGCCAACAUAGUGAAACUCCAUCUCUACUAAAAAUAUAAAAAUUAACCAGGUGUUGUGGUGCAUGCCUAUAAUCCCAGCUACUUGGGAGGCUGAGGCAGGAGAAUAACUUGAACCCGGAAGGCAGAGGUUGUAGCGAACUGAGAUCAUUCCACUGCACUCCAGCCUGGGCAACAAGAGAGAAACUCUGUCCCAAAAAAGGAGAAGGAGAAGGAGAAAGAGAAGGAGGAGUAGGGGAAAAUGUGUGUAGAGGCUGGGGGUGAGCACACAGAAUAAGUAAAAGGGACCUGAGGGAUGCAUCCAUGCAAUAGAUUAUCAUAAUAUGAUGACAGGUGUGAGAAGCAUUGAGGAUUUCACCACUCCUGACCCCUCCUCCAUGCACAGGGGCAUCCGGAGGAUCUCCAUGUCUCUAUUCCCCUUACCUUGCUCUGCCCCAAGGGAGGUGACUUGGCUGAUUGAUAAGGAUUCUAGGAGGAAUAAACUGAAUGUGAGCAGCUCUGUCCUGUCCUCAUUCCUUGUCUUAUUUUGGUCUCCUUAAAGACCUAGGGUACAGAAGGAAGGGCAGUGACUGGGGGAUUCCUUAGGAAACCAGCAUUCUGAAAAAUAAUG